rnacentral:rRNA from 1 species
UACGUAGGUGGCAAGCGUUAUCCGGAAUUAUUGGGCGUAAAGAGCGCGCAGGUGGUUAAUUAAGUCUGAUGUGAAAGCCCACGGCUUAACCGUGGAGGGUCAUUGGAAACUGGUUGACUUGAGUGCAGAAGAGGGAAGUGGAAUUCCUUGUGUAGCGGUGAAAUGCGUAGAUAUAAGGAAGAACACCAGUGGCGAAGGCGGAUUACUGGACGGUAACUGACGGUGAGGCGCGAAAGCGUGGGGAUCGAACAGG